GGAGAGUGUAGCUCAACGGCAGAGCACGAAAAACCCGUUGUCCGCCCUUUGCCCGUCUGCGGGCCGUUGGAGGACGGUUAUCGCUCAUAACGACGAGGUCGGGCGUUCGACUCGCCCCGCUCUCCGCCA
rnacentral:tRNA from 1 species